UACAGAGGGUGCGAGCGUUAAUCGGAAUUACUGGGCGUAAAGCGCACGUAGGCGGCUUUGCAAGUCAGGUGUGAAAUCCCCGGGCUUAACCUGGGAACUGCAUUUGAGACUGCAUUGCUAGAGUAUGGGAGAGGGAAGUGGAAUUUCAGGUGUAGCGGUGAAAUGCGUAGAUAUCUGAAGGAACAGCAGUGGCGAAAGCGGCGCGCUGGAUCCCUUCUGACGCUGAGGCGCGAAAGCCAGGGGAGCGAACGGG
rnacentral:rRNA from 1 species